AUUGAACGCUGGCGGCAGGCCUAACACAUGCAAGUCGAACGAGUGGCGGACGGGUGAGUAAUGUCUGGGAAACUGCCUGAUGGAGGGGGAUAACUACUGGAAACGUUAUCUAAUACCGCAUACCAUCGGAUGUGCCCAGAUGGGAUUAGCUAGUAGGUGGGGUAAAGGCUCACCUAGGCGACGAUCCCUAGCUGGUCUGAGAGGAUGACCAGCAACACUGGAACUGAGACACGGGCCAGACUCCUACGUGAGGCAGCAGGGGGGAAUAUUGCACAACGGGCGCAAGCCUGAUGACGCCAUGCCGCGUGUAUGAAGAAGGCCUUCGGGUUGUAAAGUACUUUCAGCGGGGAGGCGUUACCCGCAGAAGAAGCCCCGGCUAACUCCGUUCCAGCAGCCGCGGUAAUUC
rnacentral:rRNA from 1 species